UGAGGAAUAUUGGUCAAUGGUCGAGAGACUGAACCAGCCAAGUCGCGUGAAGGAUGACUGCCCUAUGGGUUGUAAACUUCUUUUACAAGGGAAUAAAAUGAGAUACGUGUAUUUUAUUGCAAGUACCUUGGGAAUAAGCAUCGGCUAACUCCGUGCCAGCAGCCGCGGUAAUACGGAGGAUGCGAGCGUUAUCCGGAUUUAUUGGGUUUAAAGGGUGCGUAGGUGGGCUGUUAAGUCAGCGGUGAAAGUUUGUCGCUUAACGAUAAAAUUGCCGUUGAAACUGGUAGUCUUGAGUAUAGAUGAAGUAGGCGGAAUGCGUGGUGUAGCGGUGAAAUGCAUAGAGAUCACGCAGAACUCCGAUUGCGAAGGCAGCUUACUAAGGUAUAACUGACACUGAAGCACGAAAGCGUGGGUAUCAAACAGG
rnacentral:rRNA from 1 species